AAUGAACGCUGGCGGCAUGCCUAACACAUGCAAGUCGAACGAGAUCUUCGGGUCUAGUGGCGCACGGGUGCGUAACGCGUGGGAAUCUGCCCUUUGGUUCGGAAUAACAGUUGGAAACGACUGCUAUUACCGGAUGAUGACGAAAGUCCAAAGAUUUAUCGCCAGAGGAUGAGCCCGCGUCGGAUUAGCUAGUUGGUGUGGUAAAGGCGCACCAAGGCGACGAUCCUUAGCUGGUCUGAGAGGAUGAUCAGCCACACUGGGACUGAGACACGGCCCAGACUCCUACGGGAGGCAGCAGUGGGGAAUAUUGGACAAUGGGCGAAAGCCUGAUCCAGCAAUGCCGCGUGAGUGAUGAAGGCCUUAGGGUUGUAAGGCUCUUUUACCCGGGAUGAUAAUGACAGUACCGGGAGAAUAAGCUCCGGCUAACUCCGUGCCAGCCGCCGCCGUAA
rnacentral:rRNA from 1 species